CCCUUAGAUGUCCUGGGCUGCACGCGCGCUACACUGAUGUGUCCAGUAAGCACCUAACCUCUUCCGAAAGGAACGGGUAACCUUUGCAAAGCACAUCGUGAUGGGGAUAGAUUAUUGCAAUUAUUAGUCUUGAACGAGGAAUUCCUAGUAAGCACAAGUCAUCAGCUUGUGUUGAUUACGUCCCUGCCCUUUGUACACACCGCCCGUCGCUACUAUCGAUUGAGCGGUUCAGUGAGGGCCUCGGAUUGGUCUCGGUCUGGCGUGCAAGCGCCGGCACCGUUGGCCGAGAAGACGCUCGAACUCGAUCGCUUGGAGAAAGUAAAAGUCGUAACA
rnacentral:rRNA from 1 species